rnacentral:lncRNA from 1 species
AGAAUCUCCUUGUUUAGGCUGGGAUGCUGCCCCCAGUGGGGUAGAGGGACCCUCUCUGUAGUAGGCUCUCUAGAAGGAAUGGAAAGAGGAGUGAAGCCAGACAAACAGAAAAUGCAGUCCUAGACCUAAGAGAGCUUCUGUGGCCCUGGGAGGCAGACAGACACUGUCCCUAAAAAAUAGAUUUUUGGAACAACUUCACAUGGACAAGAUGACAUGGUUGACCAUCCAUACAUCUUACUCUGCUUAGGGCACAUUUCCAGUGGGGUUAUCCAGGAAAG